GCAGGGGUGUAACACAAAGUCCCUGGGCUGGGACAGUGGGGUGGGGAUGGUGGGAGGUGACAUGGGGUGCUUGGGCUGGGGCAGUGGGCAUGGAGGACAGGGGCCUUGACUGGUGGGCACCAAGGUUCCGUGGGGAUGGUGGUGGGAAUGCAGGGGCAGUGAGGUGCGGGCCUGGGGGCUGCUGACCACUCGCAGCUCCUCAUUACCCCCAUUUGCUGAGCGUGGGGUGCUGGGCUGCGGGCUGAGCCCUUGUGUUCAUUACCUCCUCUCAUCACUACAGCAAGCGCCAUUUCUCAUAUUGGAAAACUAAGGCUGGGAGUAGUCAGGUGACUUCCACUGGGCCUCAGAAGGCCAGGCAGGUUGUGCCUAACCACCUCGCUAUGCCCCUGGUCAGGGCUCUGUCCACAUCCCAGCCAGGCAGCUCAGGUGCUGGCUCCAUUGUGAGGUCUCAAGGCCACACAGCGGGGAGGGAGCUGCCGCUGUCCGACUGGCUGCACUUGCUGUCCCUGGCUGGGCCUGCUCUGGGACACUGAUGGGCUGGCAGCUGUUCCAUCUGCAGGAGCUCACUCCUGAGUGUCUGUUGCGCCCUGUAGAAGACUCCAGGCUAGAUGGGAGUCCCUAUGGUCCUGCUGGCCUCUGCUGGUCCCGGGGACCGCCCCGUGCCUGCACACGUUGAGGUUCUCAGUCUGUGUGUGUUGAAUACACGAAGGACGGUGCACACCUCCCACCGUGAAGCAUUGUGAAGGCAUGCGAGGCAGGGAUGGACCUUCAGAAGCAAACUGAGGUCUGGAGACAGCCAGUGCCCGGCUUCUGGCACCUUCCGGUCAUCGUUCCAAUUCAACAACCAUUUCCAGAGUUCCUUGGAGGUUCACAGCAAGCUGAGCUGGUAAGACUGUGAAGAGGUGGCUCGCUCGCCCUCCCUCGAGGCAGGGCCUGGCCUGGUUCUGGCUCUUGUCCUCACCUGGAUGCUCUGUUUUUGGAAUGAGGGCUGUUCCAUGUGCCCUGGACAUUCGGCUGCGAUUCUCUGAGGCACAGAAUGGAUUCUCCUUUCUGCUUCUCAGAACUGAGACUUGGGCCAUGAUGUGAAAGGAGGAGAAGCACCCGGGAAGCCCCGAAUUCCUGACAUGGGAAACCUUUGGGGGACAUGGAGGCUGGCCCUGAAACCCUCUUG
rnacentral:lncRNA from 1 species